rnacentral:tRNA from 1 species
UUUCUCGUAGUGUAGCGGUUAACACGCCUGCCUGUCACGCAGGAGAUCGCGGGUUCGAUUCCCGUCGAGACCGCCA